AAUAUCCUUUAAAAUCAGAAUGCCAGCUUGGAUUGGUUGCAGUAACAGCUAAAUUUGCUCCUCCUGGUUUGCUUGUAGGACGUGAAUGCAAGAACCUGCCAAGAAAACCAAUGGCCAAGAUGGUGGAUUAGUGCAGGACCUGAGAGAACCCCCUUAAAUGACAACCUGGAGUAGUUUCCAAUAUUAGAUUGAAAAGAGGCCCUUGGCUGCAUCUCCUUGAGCAAGGAAAGCCAAGAAACCUUUGCUUUUGCAGGAGAAAAUCAAGAAAGCAAGAAGGAAGAAGAGAAACCACGUGACUCCUCCCUGAGCCCCAGACAGCCCAGGAACUGUCUCCCUGGGAAUGGUGGGAGGGGCUGGACUCUGGAUUGCUCCCUCUGGAUGUGUGGCUCUCCCUUGCAGGAACUCCAGGAACUCCUGGUGCCGCCUGGGCCGAUGGAUUGGACACCCAGCCCCUCCGUUCCUGCCCAGCCACUGGGGCCGUGUCGAGUGGUGGCACUGCCAGCCCUGCAGUGGGAUGGAGCCUGGAAA